UGUUCUGUGGCUUCGUUGGGAAAAGCGCCGGAGCAACGAUACGGAGUCGUGGGUUCAAAUCCCACAAAAACAA
rnacentral:tRNA from 1 species